GACGGAGGAUGCAAGCGUUAUCCGGAAUGAUUGGGCGUAAAGCGUCCGCAGGUGGCAGUUCAAGUCUGCUGUCAAAGACCGGGGCUUAACUUCGGAAAGGCAGUGGAAACUGAACAGCUAGAGUAUGGUAGGGGCAGAGGGAAUUCCUGGUGUAGCGGUGAAAUGCGUAGAGAUCAGGAGGAACACCAAUGGCGAAGGCAGCUCGCUGGGACGGUACUGACGCUGAGACGCGAAAGCGUGGGGAGCAAACAGG
rnacentral:rRNA from 1 species